CGUUCUGGUAACAUCUCUGAAACGCACGAGCCUCUGGCGCAAGGGUUUCCUACUGUUGAGGACACUCGCUGCUGUGCUCCUGCAAGACAAUCGAAUGGUACCUUCAAGCAACCACAAAAAGCUGCGGUCACGGGACAAAGAUUUACAUCCUAAAUCACUACCCAGCCCACGUCAUUCUAAAUGGAGAAAGAAGUUUAGUGCGCAGCAAAGUCUGCCCAAGGUGAACUUCAGUAACUACAAUGCUGUCAUGAGUUUCUUCAAUGUGAACCAGAACCACUGGAAGUUCAUUUAUCUGCAUGAACCUUCAGGCCAAGUGUCUUUGGUU